UUUUUUCUUCUUCUUCUUCUCUUUA
rnacentral:sRNA from 1 species